rnacentral:rRNA from 1 species
GACGAACGCUGGCGGCGUGCUUAACACAUGCAAGUCGAGCGGAGCGGCGAACGGGUGAGUAACGCGUGAGUAACUGCCCCCCUCUCUGGGAUAACAGUUGGAAACGGCUGCUAAUACCGGCUAGUGGGGGAUGACUCGCGUCCUAUCAGCUUGUUGGUGGGGUAGUGGCCUACCAAGGCGACGACGGGUAGCCGGCCUGAGAGGGCGACCGGCCACAUUGGGCUGAGAGACGGCACAAACUCCUACGGGAGGCAGCAGCGGGGAGUAAUGGAGAAUGGGGGAAACCCGGAGGCAGCAACGCCGUGUGCGGGAUGAAUGGCUUCGGGUGGUAAACAGCUUUCAUCGAUGACGCGGUAGUGGCAGAAGAAGCACCGGCUAACUACGUGCCAGCAGCCGCGGUAAUAC